rnacentral:rRNA from 1 species
AGAGUUUGAUCAUGGCUCAGAACGAACGCUGGCGGCAGGCCUAACACAUGCAAGUCGAGCGCAGUCCUUCGGGACCGAGCGGCGGACGGGUUAGUAACGCGUGGGAAUAUACCCUUCACUACGGAAUAGCCUCGGGAAACUGAGAGUAAUACCGUAUACGCCCUUCGGGGGAAAGAUUUAUCGGUGAAGGAUUAGCCCGCGUAAGAUUAGAUAGUUGGUGGGGUAAUGGCCUACCAAGUCUACGAUCUUUAGCUGGUUUUAGAGGAUGAUCAGCAACACUGGGACUGAGACACGGCCCAGACUCCUACGGGAGGCAGCAGUGGGGAAUCUUGGACAAUGGGCGCAAGCCUGAUCCAGCCAUGCCGCGUGUGUGAUGAAGGCCUUAGGGUCGUAAAGCACUUUCGCCAGAGAUGAUAAUGACAGUAUCUGGUAAAGAAACCCCGGCUAACUCCGUGCCAGCAGCCGCGGUAAUACGGAGGGGGUUAGCGUUGUUCGGAAUUACUGGGCGUAAAGCGCACGUAGGCGGACUAGUCAGUCAGAGGUGAAAUCCCAGGGCUCAACCCUGGAACUGCCUUUGAUACUGCUAGUCUUGAGUUCGAGAGAGGUGAGUGGAAUUCCGAGUGUAGAGGUGAAAUUCGUAGAUAUUCGGAGGAACACCAGUGGCGAAGGCGGCUCACUGGCUCGAUACUGACGCUGAGGUGCGAAAGUGUGGGGAGCAAACAGGAUUAGAUACCCCGGUAGUCCACACCGUAAACGAUGAAUGCCAGUCGUCGGGCAGUAUACUGUUCGGUGACACACCUAACGGAUUAAGCAUUCCGCCUGGGGAGUACGGUCGCAAGAUUAAAACUCAAAGGAAUUGACGGGGGCCCGCGCAAGCG